rnacentral:rRNA from 1 species
AUUGAACGCUGGCGGCAUGCUUUACACAUGCAAGUCGAGCGGCAGCGCGGGGGCAACCCUGGCGGCGAGCGGCGAACGGGUGAGUAAUGCAUCGGAACGUAUCCUCGAGUGGGGGAUAACCCAGCGAAAGUUGGGCUAAUACCGCAUGAGCUCUGAGGAGGAAAGCGGGGGACCUGCGAGGGCCUCGCGCUGGAGGAGCGGCCGAUGUCCGAUUAGCUAGUUGGUGGGGUAAAGGCUUACCAAGGCGACGAUCGGUAGCUGGUCUGAGAGGAUGAUCAGCCACACUGGGACUGAGACACGGCCCAGACUCCUACGGGAGGCAGCAGUGGGGAAUUUUGGACAAUGGGGGCAACCCUGAUCCAACCAUGCCGCGUGAGUGAAGAAGGCCUUCGGGUUGUAAAGCUCUUUCGGACGGAACGAAAUGGGCGGGACUAAUACUCCUGUCUGAUGACGGUACCGUAAGAAGAAGCACCGGCUAACUACGUG